ensembl:lncRNA
CGGGAAGUGAGUCGCUGCGGAAGGCUGAGCUGCUUGCUCCACAGCAGACAAGAUAGACAACAGAGAAUCAGGGAGCAGUCACGACCGGAACAUCAACUCUAGAGACCUAAGGAAAGCAGAGCGGUGUGGGCUCAGAGAGCCAACCCAGGGCUGAAGAGCACUUGCUGUUCGUGCCGAGGACCUGAGUCCUGUGCAUAAAGCUCUGAACAGCCGCCUUCUCCUCUCAGGAGCAUUUUAUUACCCAGGGCCUUGCGCUUGCUAGGCAAGCGCUCUACCACUGAGCUGAAUCCCCAACCCCUCUCAGGAGCAUUUUAUUACUUUUCCAGUGAAAGCCUUUGCUGAUGAACCAAGAGGCUGAGGAGAUAAAGACAUCUUUCAAAG